rnacentral:rRNA from 1 species
CAAUACGUCAGCGGCAGACGGGUGAGUAACGCGUGGGAACAUACCUUUUGGUUCGGAACAACACAGGGAAACUUGUGCUAAUACCGGAUAAGCCCUUACGGGGAAAGAUUUAUCGCCGAAAGAUUGGCCCGCGUCUGAUUAGCUAGUUGGUGAGGUAACGGCUCACCAAGGCGACGAUCAGUAGCUGGUCUGAGAGGAUGAUCAGCCACAUUGGGACUGAGACACGGCCGAA